rnacentral:lncRNA from 1 species
GUCGCAGAGGCGGCCGUGGACAGCAAACUUCACGACGUGGCCCUGCUCCAGCGUGACGCGGCCGCUGUCGAGGAGGAUCUCGCCGCGCGGAGGCGGAGCAUGAGGCGCUUUGAGUGGGGCUCGGUGAAGACGAACUCCGCGGCGGCGAGGACGAUGCCGAGGCGGGCGAUGUGGCGGUCGACGUGGCGGAGGAGGAGCCUCAUGAGCUCUAGCGACUCCGCAUCAAGGAGAUUAAUUAAAAUCCUGAUUUGCGUCUUCGUCAAGCCGAUGCCGUCCGUAGAAAUCAUGAAAAAGCUAGCGAUACCUUCCCUGGAAACUAUAUGA